AAUGGGGGCAACCCUGAUCCAGCCAUGCCGCGUGAGUGAAGAAGGCCUUCGGGUUGUAAAGCUCUUUCGGCCGGGAAGAAAUCGCAUGGGUGAAUACCCUGUGUGGAUGACGGUACCGGAACAAGAAGCACCGGCUAACUACGUGCCAGCAGCCGCGGUAAUACGGAGGGUGCGAGCGUUAUCCGGAAUUACUGGGUUUAAAGGGUGCGUAGGCGGCCUAAUAUGUCAGGAGUUAAAGUUAUCCGCUUAACGGGGAAAUUGCUUUGGAUACUGUUAGGCUAGAAUAAGGAUGAGGUAGGCGGAAUGUGGCAAGUAGCGGUGAAAUGCAUAGAUAUGCCAUAGAACACCAAUUGCGAAGGCAGCUUACUGGACCUUAAUUGACGCUGAGGCACGAAAGCGUGGGGAGCGAA
rnacentral:rRNA from 1 species